UCUCUUCGCUAAGACCCUCCCCUAUCCAGAUCCCUCUCUUCUCUCUGCUCUUCCUGUCCAUCUAUCUCCCUCCACUUUUCCCCUCCUCUCCUCCCCCUGCCAUCUUCUUCCUUCCUCGCUGCCCCACCUUCUCUCGCAGCACCCAGAGAGGAUCGCUGGCCUUCCUGCGCAUGCGCAGUGGGUGCCAGCUGGACCGCGGUUUGGAAGCUCCAGCUCCGAGCAGGGGAUCGGCCCCAAAGGCUUCUCAGCUCUGUAGCCCGGGCCUGCAACAUGAGCAUCCCUGACUACGUGCGGUGUGCUGAGGACUAUGAGACUCUUCCCGUUGUGGUCCAACCUGUGGGGAUCAUCUCAGAGGAGAAUUUCUUUUGCAUCUAUAAGCGAACCUCCUCGGUGAGCCAGAUCAGCCCGUGCGGCUCCCAGUGGGCACUCUGUAUCCACUACAGACACCACUAUGCGCCCGAGAGUGGGUGGAGCGGCUUCCAGACCCACUGCAAGGUCGUGGGCCCUGUCACCAUUACCGACUGCCUCUCUGCCAAGGCCUUCUAGAAGCUCCAUGUGCAGAGGAGCUGUAUGGCACUGCGCUUAAUGACUCUCAGCUCUUUGUCUUUGUGCUGUAUGGGGAGGUGGCCGAGCAGCCGCGCAGCAACGUGUCCUUCAAUCUACGAGGACUGCAGGGUGGUGGAGAAGAGGAUUGAGGACUUCACUGAGUCAUUCUUCAUCUUGCCCAAGUCCAAGUGGCUGGAUGCAGCCCCCAACAAGUCUGGGGACAAGAUCGCCCUCCGCUGCAUUCUGUUUGAGAAGGAGGACAACAUGGGACUGGACACAGAC